GGGCAUUUAAGGCUGUUCCAGUGGCAGUGGGGCUGGCUCAACAUAUCCGUAUAUGUGAUCAUUUAACACAUAGGUGUUAAGUUCAUUCUUGCUGCAAGAGAAGGCCAUUGUACUUCCUGACCCUGAAAGCAAGAUGCAGUAACUGAGACAUCAAAGGUUAAUUGCUUGCCCAAAGCCAUGUAGUAACUUGGACCGUGUCUCUUUAAAUCUACUGAGGAAGAUAUUCCUUCUGGCCCACAGGAUGCCAAAAUGACUCGAUGAUUUAUUUAUGCAGCGCUUGGCAGCCUAUAGUCCAGAUUGUGGCUGAAGCUGAAUUUUAUGAGCCUUCCCUCAGAAGUAUUCUAGGCCCAGGGGAUUGUGGUGGAAAAGACAAAUACUGACCCUUCUGUCCUGGAACAGACAUUUCACAGGAGGGAGAUGGAUGAUAAACAGGAUCUGCAGCUGGGAGAGAGUGUCCAGCUAACAGCCCGUGUCUCAGGCCUUGCCAGGGGAUGAAUCAAUUAGCAAGAGAAGCAAUGAUGCAAAUGCUCCGGGGUCACUUGGGAUGCUGUUUGCCUUUUUGAUAGAGAAAGCACACCAUAAAUAACAUCACACCUCAGGAAAUCAUUCCGGGAGGCCCAGAUGCCGGCAGGGUUGCUGCCGCGUACGGAAGGAACCAUUUGCUCAUUGUGUAUAUUUCCCCCAUCUCAGUCAAUGGAAGAUUUGUAGUAAAAUCAAAGUAUUUAAAA